AACGCGAAGAACCUUACCUGGGCUCGAAGCGCAGUGGACCGGGGUAGAAAUAUCCCUUUCUCGCAAGAGACUGCUGCGGAGGUGCUGCAUGGCUGUCGUCAGCUCGUGUCGUGAGAUGUUGGGUUAAGUCCCGCAACGAGCGCAACCCUUGUCCUGUGUUGCCAUCAUUCAGUUGGGAACUCGCAGGAGACCGCCAGGGAUAACCUGGAGGAAGGUGGGGAUGACGUCAAGUCCUCAUGGCCUUUAUGUCCAGGGCUACACACGUGCUACAAUGGACGGUACAAAGGGCUGCCAACCCGCAAGGGGGAGCCAAUCCCAAAAAACCGUUCUCAGUUCGGAUUGCAGGCUGCAACUCGCCUGCAUGAAGCUGGAAUCGCUAGUAAUGGUGGAUCAGAACGCCACCGUGAAUACGUUCCCGGGCCUUGUACACACCGAGUAUA
rnacentral:rRNA from 1 species